GACGAACGCUGGCGGCGUGCCUAAUACAUGCAAGUCGAGCGAAGUUUUUCUGGUGCUUGCACUAGAAACACUUAGCGGCGAACGGGUGAGUAACACGUAAAGAACCUGCCUCAUAGACUGGGACAACUAUUGGAAACGAUAGCUAAUACCGGAUAACAGUAUUUCUCGCAUGAGAGAUAUUUAAAAGUUGGUUAUGCUAACACUAUGAGAUGGCUUUGCGGUGCAUUAGCUAGUUGGUGGGGGAAAGGCCCACCAAGGCGACGAUGCAUAGCCGACCUGAGAGGGUGAUCGGCCACACUGGGACUGAGACACGGCCCAGACUCCUACGGGAGGCAGCAGUAGGGAAUCUUCCGCAAUGGGCGAAAGCCUGACGGAGCAACGCCGCGUGAGUGAAGAAGGAUUUCGGUUCGUAAAGCUCUGUUGUUUGGGAAGAAUGGAUAUGUAGUAACUAUACAUGUAAGAGACGGUACCUAACCAGAAAGCCACGGCUAACUACGUG
rnacentral:rRNA from 1 species